UACGUAGGGGGCAAGCGUUGUCCGGAUUUAUUGGGCGUAAAGAGCGUGUAGGCGGCCAGACAGGUCCGUUGUGAAAACUAGAGGCUUAACCUCUAGACGUCGAUGGAAACCGUCUGGCUAGAGUCCGGAAGAGGAGAGUGGAAUUCCUGGUGUAGCGGUGAAAUGCGCAGAUAUCAGGAAGAACACCCGUGGCUAAGGCGGUUCUCUAGUACGGUACUGACGCUGAGACGCGAAAGCGUGGGGAGCGAACAGG
rnacentral:rRNA from 1 species